CCUGGCGGCAAUAGCGAGCGGGUACCACCUGAUCCCAUUCCGAACUCAGAAGUGAAAACGCUCAGCGCUGAUGAUAGUGCGGGGUCUCCCCGUGUGAAAGUAAGACACCGCCAGGC
rnacentral:rRNA from 1 species